UNGAACAUAUCUGACAGUGUACCUAUGC
rnacentral:piRNA from 1 species